rnacentral:misc_RNA from 1 species
UUACCAUAAAAUUCUCCAACUUUGGCCCGCAACUUUGGAAUUUGUUACACUUUAGCCCUUCAAUUUUUCAAAUUGGGCAUUAUCCGCAAUAAAUUCGAAAAGCAACAGGAAAACAUAUUGGAGAACUAAUAAGUAAAUAAAUUAUCGACUAGAAAAACAACCAUAAAAAGUUAUUUUUGGGAAUUUUCUUUUCGGUUUUAAAAGAGAGAGAGUAGACAGUGAUUUACGUUUUAUUUUCAUUGAGAUAGAGGACAUAGAGGGAGAGUCAUAAGAGAGCACAAGGAGGAUUAAAUUUAGAGUUGAGAGGGAGAGAGCGCGUGAAAGGAGAAAGAGAGUGAGGAGAAAGGACGAUUUGAAUUACAUGUGGCAUUUUUUUUUAAUUUCUUUUUAUCUUACACUAUAACACUGUCACAUACAAGAUUGGCUAUAGAUAUGAGGGGUUUUUCUAUGGAUCGAGCAUAUGAGGUG